AUUGAACGCUGGCGGCAGGCCUAACACAUGCAAGUCGAACGAGUGGCGGACGGGUGAGUAAUGUCUGGGAAACUGCCCGAUGGAGGGGGAUAACUACGGGAAACGGUAGCUAAUACCGCAUACAAUCGGAUGUGCCCAGAUGGGAUUAGCUAGUAGGGGGGGUAACGGCGCACCUAGGCAACGAUCCCUAGCUGGUAUGAGAGGAUGACCAGCCACCCUGGAACUGUGACACGGUCCAGACGCCUACGGGAGGCAGCAGUGGGGAAUAUUGCACAAUGGGCGCAAUCCUUAUGCAGCCAUGCCGCGUGUAUGAAGAAGGCCUUCGGGUUGUAAAGUACUUUCAGCGAGGAGGCUUUACUCGCAGAAGAAGCCCCGGCUAACUCCGUGCCAGCAGCCGCGGUAAUAC
rnacentral:rRNA from 1 species